CCGCUUUCUCUUCCUCUUCUCCAUCAUGGUGCAGGAUCAAGGUGAAAAGGAGAACUCCAUGCAGGAACUUCGCAUUUGCAAGCUCUGCCUCAACAUCUGUGUGGGGAAGACUGGAGACAGACUGACCCGGGCAGCCAAGGUCUUGGAGCAGCUCACAGGCCGGACUCCUGUGUUUUCCAGAGCUAGAUACACUGUCAGAUCCUUUGGCAUCAGGAGAAAUGAAAAGAUUGCCGCCCACUACACAGUUCGAGGGGCCAAGGCAGAAGAAAUCCUGGAGAAAGGGCUGAAACUGCAGGAGUAUGAACUAAGAAAAAAUAGCUUCUCAGAUAUUGGAAACUUUGGUUUGGGCAUCCGGGAACACAUAGAUCUGGAUAUUAAAUAUGACCCAAGCAUUGGUAUCUACAGCCUGGACUUCGAUGUAGUGCUGGGUUGGCCAGGUUUCAGCAUUGCCGACAGAAACACAGAACAGGCUGCACUGGGGCCAAACACAGAAUCAGCAAAGAGGAGGCCAUGUGCUGGUUCCAGCAGAAGGAUAAUGGGAUCAUCCUUCCCGGCAAAUAAAUUCCCAUUUCUAUUCAAAAGGCCAAUAAAAAGUUUUCAG